CACGAAGGGGCUAGCGUUGCUCGGAAUCACUGGGCGUAAAGCGCACGUAGGCGGACUCUUAAGUCGGUGGUGAAAUCCUGGAGCUCAACUCCAGAACUGCUUUCGAUACUGGGAGUCUCGAGUUCGGGAGAGGUGAGUGGAACUGCGAGUGUAGAGGUGAAAUUCGUAGAUAUUCGCAAGAACACCAGUGGCGAAGGCGGCUCAC
rnacentral:rRNA from 1 species